rnacentral:rRNA from 1 species
GACGAACGCUGGCGGCGUGCUUAACACAUGCAAGUCGAACGGAAAGGCCCUGCUUGCCGGGUGCUCGAGUGGCGAACGGGUGAGUAACACGUGGGUGAUCUGCCCCUUACUUUGGGAUAAGCCUGGGAAACUGGGUCUAAUACUGGAUAGGACCAUGCUGUAGGUGGUGUGGUGGAAAGAUUAGUUUCGGUAAGGGAUGAGCUCGCGGCCUAUCAGCUUGUUGGUGGGGUAAUGGCCUACCAAGGCGUCGACGGGUAGCCGGCCUGAGAGGGUGGACGGCCACAUUGGGACUGAGAUACGGCCCAGACUCCUACGGGAGGCAGCAGUGGGGAAUAUUGCACAAUGGGCGCAAGCCUGAUGCAGCGACGCCGCGUGGGGGAUGACGGCCUUCGGGUUGUAAACUCCUUUCAGCCAUGACGAAGCCCUUGCGGUGACGGUAGUGGUAGAAGAAGCACCGGCUAACUACGUG